AACGAACGCUGGCGGCAGGCUUAACACAUGCAAGUCGAACGCCCCGCAAGGGGAGUGGCAGACGGGUGAGUAACGCGUGGGAACGUACCUUUCAGUUCGGAAUAACUCAGGGAAACUUGUGCUAAUACCGGAUACGUCCGUAAGGAGAAAGAUUUAUCGCUGAAAGAUCGGCCCGCGUUGGAUUAGCUAGUUGGUGGGGUAAUGGCCUACCAAGGCGACGAUCCAUAGCUGGUCUGAGAGGAUGAUCAGCCACACUGGGACUGAGACACGGCCCAGACUCCUACGGGAGGCAGCAGUGGGGAAUAUUGGACAAUGGGCGAAAGCCUGAUCCAGCCAUGCCGCGUGAGUGAUGAAGGCCUUAGGGUUGUAAAGCUCUUUCACCGAUGAAGAUAAUGACGGUAGUCGGAGAAGAAGCCCCGGCUAACUUCGUGCCAGCAGCCGCCGUAA
rnacentral:rRNA from 1 species